rnacentral:rRNA from 1 species
UACGGGGGGGGCAAGCGUUGUUCGGAAUUACUGGGCGUAAAGGGCUCGUAGGCGGCCAACUAAGUCAUACGUGAAAUCCCUCGGCUUAACCGGGGAACUGCGUCUGAUACUGGAUGGCUUGAGUUCGGGAGAGGGAUGCGGAAUUCCAGGUGUAGCGGUGAAAUGCGUAGAUAUCUGGAGGAAUACCGGUGGCGAAAGCGACUCUCUGGACGGCAACUGACGCUGAGGCACGAAAGCGUGGGGAGCAAACAGG